UACACUAGAAUCACACUGAUACCGUGUAUUCAGACAGUUAAUACACCGAGUAAACCAACGAAAACACUUCUGAGACUCAUUCUUGUGCGUGAUUGUAUUCUCAAACACUUCAGUGCGGUGAGCAUUCCGAGAAACCACCCCCAGUCAAUCGAGCCCCACGAUGAUCUCUCACAACGCACUUGCUCAAUUAUGUUGAAUUAAUUGUUCCGUUGAUGUGGAAAUAACACUAAGAAGCUAGUUUAUAUGGACUUAAUUGCUUUGUGAUUGAAGAAUAACGUACUGAUUUUCCACAGGGGGAAACGUGACAAAGGGAAGGCCUUCAGGUAUUGUUUUGGCAAGCUAGGAGAACACAUCUGACAGACAAAAGGGUUUCAUCAAAGACACACAGACAGCUCCUGAAGUAAAGGACCUACACAGGACCUUCAUAUCAAGGACAUUGACUGUGUGGAUCUCGAGGUGCAGUUACCCAAAAGUUGCUACCCACGGAAUACCAGGUUUUGAGGGAUCCUGCCAGAGCAGAGAAUCAACAGAUACAUUGAAGAGGAGACUCCGACAUGACCGCCGGCAUCUUGUGUUAUUCACCCCCACCACUUGUAAUACUGACUGCCUGAAUUGUUGUUUGCUGCUCAGACUUUGUCAACAGAUAUGGUCUUCGACAUGUUACCCUUAGGUGUGGAAACAGAUUGUGACAGUCCAGCAAAAUGAGCCAGACAGAUAGUAACACUGAAAAAGGACAACGUUGUUCCCAUGGCCUCCCACUGCAGAAGACUACAGACGUUCAGUAAAGCACAAACAGCUGUUCCUCUUGUACUUAAUAAUUUAGUCAGCUGGAUUCUAGGUGCCACUAAGGAGCCAACAGUGGAUAAUUUUGUCAACAUUUCAAUGGCAUACAUUAAAAGGGCAGCCUGUAAUUGUUUGCCUUGCCUCCAUCU